UUAAGAUUUAUAAAUUAAUUUCUGUAAAAAAUAUUUUUUACGUUUAAUUGAUCGUUGAGGUCCGUGUUGUAGUCUUAGCUAUAAGAUAGAUUUACAUGUAGGUUUAUGCGGGAAGUUAGAAAAAAUAGAAUUUUAAAAAGAAACUCUCAGUAGAAAAUAUUAGAAAUAUACGAAUAGUUCUAUCUAGGUAAUUUUUAAGAAGUGGAUAAUGGCGUGCCAGCAGCCGCGGUUAUACUCCUGCUUCAAGUUAAGAUUAAUAUACGAGGUUAUUUUUAUGGAGGAUUAAAGGAAUUUUUUUUAAAUUAUUAAGUAGAAUUUUAAUUUGGAACAAAAACAUAAAGACAUAGAAAUUACAGUUAUAGUAGGAACCAGGAUUAGAUACCCUGUUACUUAUAAGGAAGGAGCCUUGGAAUAGUAUUACUAAAUGAAAUUUAACGGAUUUGGCGGCAAGAUAGCCAUUUAGAGGAACCUGCCCUAUAAACGAUGAGCCACGAAGACCCUACUUUUACUAGUAAUUCAGUUUGUAUACCGCUGUUGUCAGUUAGUUUCCUUAGAAAGCUCUCGUGCAUGAUAAAAUCAUAGACUUCAAGUAAAGGUGCAGCUAAUGUAGAAGAUAGAGGUGGGUUACAUUUUAAGAAUGAUACGGAUAAAGUGAAUGAAAAAUCUUUUGAAGGUGGAUUUAAUUGUAAAGUUUAAGAAAACUUGAUGGGAGCUCUGUCUUGUGUACACACCGCCCGUCGCUCUCUUUUUUAAACGAGAUAAGUCGUAACAAGGUAAGUGUAAUGGAAAUUGUACUUGA
rnacentral:ncRNA from 1 species